AUCCGAGUCGUGAAAGGGAAGCUAAUAUUAGUGGGACAAAACCCAAACUAAUAGCAGCAGCAGUAACAGGGUUGACAGCAGCCUAAAGGGCGGAAAUUCAAGUUUUUUUUGGACUGUAAAGUCCACUAAAAACAGCAGCAGCAACAACAUCUAAAAGGCAGAAAAACGAGGAGCAAAAUUGGGUUAAAACCUCGACAAACCGGCAGGAUGACAGCAGCCCCAAAGGGCUGAAAAUUGGACUCUUUUCGGACUUAAAAAGUCCAGUUAGAUCGGCAGCAACAAAGUGCAUUUAGGCCAAGUGCCUAGAUUAUUGUUAUUUGUUAUCUUGACUUAUGUUUUUCAAUUUGUUUUAGAAAUGCUAACACUUUCUUGACUUAUGUUUUUGCCAUGAUUAUUGUUAUUUGUUAUCUUGACUUAUGUUUUUCAAUUUGUUUUAGAAAUGCUAACACUUUCUUCUUAUAUCUAAUUUAGAUGAAUCCUUGGGAAGUUUCUUAUUUUGUUACUUAUUUUGCUUCAAGUAUUCAAAUUUUCAAACAUUUUUAAUUCAUGAAAUCUAAGCUUCAAGACUAACUUGAGAAUUAUCUAUAUUCUUUCAUAGUUGGUAUUUAGCUUUCAAAUUCAC
rnacentral:lncRNA from 1 species